GGGCCCGUAGUCGAGUGGUAAGACGUUCGCUUUACACGCGAAAGACCAGGAGUUCGAUUCUCCUCGGGCCCA
rnacentral:tRNA from 1 species